rnacentral:rRNA from 1 species
GAGUUUGAUCCUGGCUCAGAUUGAACGCUGGCGGCAUGCCUUACACAUGCAAGUCGAACGGCAGCACGGAAGCUUGCUCCUGGUGGCGAGUGGCGAACGGGUGAGUAAUACAUCGGAACGUACCCAGGAGUGGGGGAUAACGUAGCGAAAGUUACGCUAAUACCGCAUAUUCUGUGAGCAGGAAAGCGGGGGAUCGCAAGACCUCGCGCUCUUGGAGCGGCCGAUGUCGGAUUAGCUAGUUGGUGAGGUAAAAGCUCACCAAGGCGACGAUCCGUAGCAGGUCUGAGAGGAUGAUCUGCCACACUGGGACUGAGACACGGCCCAGACUCCUACGGGAGGCAGCAGUGGGGAAUUUUGGACAAUGGGGGCAACCCUGAUCCAGCCAUGCCGCGUGAGUGA